GCGGAUAUGUCGGAAUUGGCAGACGAAUCAGACUCAAAAUCUGACGGGAAACCGUGUGGGUUCGACCCCCACUAUCCGCACCA
rnacentral:tRNA from 1 species